rnacentral:lncRNA from 1 species
AAAGAGGGCCACGAGCUGCGAAAGGGCGGGAAAGGCAGUUGGAGAAGAGGUAAGCGGUUACUCACUCCAUGGCUGCAGCAAGGAGAGGCGGCGGCGGCCUCGGCUGAAGAAAGAAGGUGGGAGCGGAGAGCGCAGGCGUGCCGAGGUGGAUGUCCGUCUUUUCUCUGUUGCAGAAACCCACCUUGUCCCAUCCACAUCAGGACAUCCCAGCUGGAGUUCAACCUUCAUCCCUUCUGUGGCAGUUAGGAGACUGAAUCAAGGUCCAGAGAAGGUGGAGGAAUCCUGAUACUGAGCGCUUUUAGAGCUGCUUCUGCCUUCCUUGGCUCCUGGCUUUCUCACAUCUUCAGAUUCCAAAGCGCAUCACUCCAGUCUGCUCGUGUCACCACAAGCUUUCUUCCCUUCUCCAGUCAGUCAAAUCCGUCUUCUAAGGAUACUGCUGAUCAUCUUUAGGGCUCACGCCUGUAGU